GGUCCGUGCGGUUGCUCCGCGGAGUGAACGGGGUUUCCCACACCGACCUGCAGGGUUCUUCCUCCACGCUCUGGAUUCACUCUCACAGGCCGCCAUGUUCACCUGAACUCCUCCAGAGGAAAACACCGUCCUAAAGGGAGCCACUGGAGAGGAGCUCUGGAACCACAGGUUGCUAAGAGACCCCUGAUCUGACCCUGCCAUCCUCUUACAGCGAGGAGGGCGCCGUUAGACUCUGCGUCCCCUGCCCUUGUUGGUCCCAGAAGCAAAGUUCUACUUGAGGGUCCACCAGCUGCAGCCCUCUAUCAUUGGCCAUCCAUGGGCAGUAAAGAUCCUCAGGACAGCUAAUUUUGCUCCCUAUGUUGUCUUCAUCGCAGCUCCCACUGUCACCCCCCGCAUGACCGAGGUAGCGGGAAACAACAUACAACACUGAUCCAGAUUUAAAUCCAAGAUGUAGUGAUUUGAUGGUAUGAACCUUUUAUGUAAUGAAUUCAUAUUUGGUGUUACUGUUUUUCCCUAGAAUUUUUUGUCUUUUUACCAGCC